UACGUAGGGUGCAAGCGUUAAUCGGAAUUACUGGGCGUAAAGCGUGCGCAGGCGGUUAUGCAAGACAGAUGUGAAAUCCCCGGGCUCAACCUGGGAACUGCAUUUGUGACUGCAUGGCUAGAGUGCGGCAGAGGGGGAUGGAAUUCCGCGUGUAGCAGUGAAAUGCGUAGAUAUGCGGAGGAACACCGAUGGCGAAGGCAAUCCCCUGGGCCUGCACUGAUGCUCAUGCACGAAAGCGUGGGGAGCAAACAGG
rnacentral:rRNA from 1 species